rnacentral:lncRNA from 1 species
GGUAUUGCAUAGUUCUAGAUAUUGGAUUUCACUCAAAACCCACCAAAUGACUGCUCCCAUCAUAUUAUGAUGUUCUCCAAGUUUUGGACUCAAUCCAAUAUCGAUUGGUCUAUGAAAUUUGACAAUUCAGGUUCGUACGAAGUUCGUUAUGAAAUGGAGUAGUUGGUGUAUUACAUAGUUUUAGCCAUUGGAUUUCACUCAAAACUCACCAACUGACUCCUCCC